CUCCCCUGCCGAAACCCACGCUCGCGCUUUCCUUCCCCCCUUGCGCCCGAUCCUUGCCCUAACCGGCGCCGCAAACCCCACUGCCUCCCUCUCCUCAGCCCGACGCCACCGCCGGGCACCCCGUGCCCUCGCCGUGGAGGUCCCAGUGGCGCCGCCAGCCCCUCUUCUGUGCGCUGUGCCCUAGCGUCGACGCCCCAUUUCCGACGCCACAGCGUCGCGGCCGGUCGCUAGCCACCCGAGCUCUAGUCGCCGGCUAACUCCCUGUGCCCUAACCGCCAGCCACCGAGAGCCCUCAGACUACCGCCGACUCUUGACCCGAGCACCACCGGCGGCAGCCCGAGUCCCUCCCAGCAGCCGCCGAACUCACGUGCCCUAGAUUUUUGGGUCCACUUGAUCACAGCACCAGUUGGUCUUCUCUCGCCGUUGCUCAUUGCUUUGGUUCAUCACCACAGUAGCGUUGGAAAGGAGCUUACGAAUUUGGUUUUGGGGUAACCAGUGUUGAAUCUCAAUCUGGUAGUGGUGAAUUGUUGGUCUUUUCUUGAUCCGAGCAGCGAGGUGAAUUUCCAGCAGGACUUUGACGCGAGACGAGUAUCUCGGAGUCAGAUUGGACCUUCCUAU